CCUACGGGAGGCAGCAGUGAGGAAUAUUGGUCAAUGGGCGGAAGCCUGAACCAGCCAAGUAGCGUGCGGGAUGAAGGCCCUACGGGUCGUAAACCGCUUUUGUACGGGGAUAACACCCUCCACUUGUGGCUGUCUGCAGGUACCGUGCGAAUAAGGGCCGGCUAACUCCGUGCCAGCAGCCGCGGUAAUACGGAGGGUCCGAGCGUUAUCCGGAUUCAUUGGGUUUAAAGGGAGCUUAGGCGGGCUGUCAGGUCAGCUGUAAAAGCCCGGGGCUCAACCGCGCCGAGCCGUGGAACCUGGGCGCCUUGAGAUCACAACAGGCAGGCGGAAUUCGGGGUGUAGCGGUGAAAUGCAUAGAUAUCGCGAGGAACCCCGAUUGCGAAGGCAGCAUGCCGGGGUGCGACUGACGCUGAGGCUCGAAGGUGCGGGUAUCAAACAGGAUUAGAUACCCGUGUAGUC
rnacentral:rRNA from 1 species